AACUUAAACAAGUGAUAUAAAUGAUGAAUACCAAUUAAUAAAUGAAAAAUUCAAGACAAAAUAAUUUCUGAUUUGUCAACAACUGCUCAUGUGCAUUCACUUCACGACGGCAGCCGCAGACAGCUCAUGGUACGCGGCGCGCGCCUGCAUUGACAAUUCACGCUGGCGCGCACCUGUUAAUAAGAAAGUCUAAGCCAUGUCACAAAAAAGGAUUUAUCCCUCUGGUGCCGAAAAAAGAAAAGGAAAGAGGAAGAGAAAAAAGAGCAAGAUAAAGGAACACUGUUGAAGUACUUUGGAGAACAACCAAACCUGCCCCUACUGUUUCGAGUGUCAGUGCCUCCACAGCUGAUGAUGCAGCAGGUUCAUCCACUGCACAAGCGACAACAAGGGAGGAGCAAUUACAUGUGACUGAAAGCGAGGAGCAGUUACAAGCACCUACAUUUACUGAUCCACUGGUUUCAAACUCAGCCGGCAUGACAGGUCCUUCUACAUCUGAACCAACUGCUAUAGAUUUCCCAUCCACUGCCUCAACAAGCUCCAGCUAUCAAGAUGGAUCAACAGCUCCUCCAAUUGACCCAGUUGAAUGGUCAGCAUUCCUCUCAGAUUCAGAAAGGACUGAUCUGGUAAGAAGAGGGCCAGCGCCAAUCAGUGACACCUCUACAUUCCCCAAGAGAUCAGAUGGAUGAAGCUUUCACUACCACUAUACAUACAGACAAUUAGUUAAUGGGGAAAAAAAUCAAGCGAAGCUGGCUAAUUUAUUCAAAGAAAAGUGAUGAUGUUUACUGCUUCUGUUGCAA